UACGGCCAUAUUACGUUGAAACAUCGGCUGCCGUACGAUCACCGAAGUUAAGUAAAAUCGAGCCUGGUUAGUUGCUAGAUGGGUGAUCGCUUUGAAAUACUAGGUGCUGCAAGC